GUUCCCGUGGUGUAGUGGUUAUCACGUGCGCUUAACAGGCGGCAAGGUCCCCGGUUCGAUUCCGGGCGGGAACA